rnacentral:rRNA from 1 species
AUUGAACGCUGGCGGCAUGCCUUACACAUGCAAGUCGAACGGUAACGGGCCUUCGGGUGCCGACGAGUGGCGCACGGGUGAGUAAUACAUCGGAACGUGCCCGAUCGUGGGGGAUAACGAGGCGAAAGCUUUGCUAAUACCGCAUACGAUCUACGGAUGAAAGCAGGGGACCGCAAGGCCUUGCGCGGACGGAGCGGCCGAUGGCAGAUUAGGUAGUUGGUGGGAUAAAAGCUUACCAAGCCGACGAUCUGUAGCUGGUCUGAGAGGAUGAUCAGCCACACUGGGACUGAGACACGGCCCAGACUCCUACGGGAGGCAGCAGUGGGGAAUUUUGGACAAUGGGCGCAAGCCUGAUCCAGCCAUGCCGCGUGCAGGAUGAAGGCCUUCGGGUUGUAAACUGCUUUUGUACGGAACGAAAAGCCUUCUUUUAAUACAGGAGGGUCAUGACGGUACCGUAAGAAUAAGCACCGGCUAACUACG